rnacentral:rRNA from 1 species
CCCAGUUCGGAUUGUAGUCUGCAACCGACUACAUGAAGCUGGAAUCGCUAGUAAUCGCAGGUCAGCAUACUGCGGUGAAUACGUUCCCGGGUCUUGUACACACCGCCCGUCACACCAUGGGAGCCGGAAAUGCCCGAAGCCAGUGACCCAACCUUAGGGAGGGAGCUGUCGAAGGUGGAGCCGGUAACUGGGGUGAAGUCGUAACAAGGUAGC